UACGUAGGAGGCAAGCGUUGUCCGGAGUUACUGGGCGUAAAGGGUGCGUAGGUGGCGGGGUAAGUCUGGUGUGAAAGCUCCGAGCUUAACUCGGAAAAGCAUUGGAAACUAUCCCGCUGGAGGGUCGGAGGGGAGACUGGAAUUCUCGGUGUAGCAGUGAAAUGCGUAGAUAUCGAGAGGAACACCAGUGGCGAAGGCGAGUCUCUGGACGACUCCUGACACUGAGGCACGAAAGCUAGGGGAGCAAACAGG
rnacentral:rRNA from 1 species